AUUCCCUGUGUUCCCAUCUCCUGUUCCCACCAUUCCUGUUCCCAUCUCCUGUUCCCACCAUUCCUGUUCCCAUCUCCUGUUCCCACCAUUCCUGUUCCCAUGUCCAUCAGUCCUGCCCCUCGUGUCCCCAGGAUCCGUGUGUGUCCUGUGUCUCUGCGGGAUCCGCGGCGGAUCCGAGCGGGGCUGGAUGUUCCGUGCGCGUCCCGGAUUUCUGGGCAGCCCCACGGUUCCUGCUGCCGUCUCUCAGUCUCUGCUCUCUCCUUUUCCCUCCCCCUGUGCUGAGAGUUUGGGGUUCUCCCUUCCCCUGUGCUGAGAGUUUGGGGUUCUCCCUUCCCCCUGUGCUGAGAGUUUGGGGUUCUCCCUCCCCCUGUGCUGAGAGUUUGGGGUUCCCCUUCCCCUGUGCUGAGAGUUUGGGGUUCUCCCUUCCCCUGUGCUGAGAGUUUGGGGUUCUCCCUCCCCCUGUGCUGAGAGUUUGGGGUUCUCCUCCCCGCAGGUUUUGGGCUGUGCAGAAGAGCUCACGGCAGCCCCUGGUGUUGGUGUUGAACCUCCACGUUCCAAGGGAAUUGUUUUGGGCACCCAAAGCAAUU
rnacentral:lncRNA from 1 species